ensembl:lncRNA novel transcript
CCUGGAGUCUCCCCUGUACUCUCUUGUUAUUGGCUGAAAUGUGUACCUCCAAAAUUUAUUUAUUGAAGCCCUAACCUCAGUAUCUGAGAAUGAAAGUGUAUCUAGAAACAUGGCCUUUAAGAGAGUCAUCUGGGAAGCUUUAGACAAAUCCUGAUGCCCAGAUCCAAUUGCAGACCAAUUAUCUGAAUUUCUGGGGGAAGGAACAAAGCCUUACUUUUCUUGUCAAAACUCUCCAGGUGAUUCCUGUGUCUAUCCAAAGUUGAGAACACUGGUCUAUUAGAUAAUGGGAGUUUGUCCCAGCUCUACAGGUCUGGGGAUAAUGCUGAUGGCUGCAUUUGGGGAAGAGGAACAGAGAAGCCAGCUUGAGCAACAUCUUCUGAGUCACUGGCCAAGAAAUGC